rnacentral:lncRNA from 1 species
UUUUAAAAGAAGCGGCGGUUGUUUUAUGUUUGUUUAAUAUAAUGAAAAUCAUUGCCAAUUAAGGUUCACUCGGUUGGUAAGGAGUUGACUCAUCCUUAAGAUCAUGAGUUUAAAUCCACUGCCCGUACAAUAACCUCUUUGAUGGAUGAUUUGUAAGUACCUUUGUAUGUGCUCUUUGAACCUUAAGACCUACACUCAUCUUAAUGAUCCCAAGAGUCCAACUCAUCUAAACUUUCUCAUAUAAAAAAUAUAUAAUGAAAACUAUUUUUUUUAUGGAGAACUUACUCAAAGCAACUUCCCAGUGGUUUUUAAACUUUUAUUUUCUUUUCAGAUUCUCAUUAUUUUGAAAAUAUGCAACAAUGAGAGGAAGAGAAAGAAAAUGCGAGGAAGAGAAAGUCAAAUGAAAAGAAAAAUGAGAGAAAGAUGAAGACUAUGGUAGAGAAGGAAGAAAUAGCAGCGAAGAGUACAAUGGUAAUAGUUGAAAAUUUGAAGAAAGAUUAAGAGUGUGUUUGGAUGAGGCAAUUGAGAAAUUUUAAAGAAUUUAAAAUUCUAGUCAAUUUAAAUGAUUCAAUUAAAUUCCUUUCAUUUCUCAAUACUUUUGUUUGGGUGGAGUAAUAAAAAAUUUCAAUGUCACCAUUUUUGGGGAAAUUUUA